GUCGGAUAUGGAGACAUGCACCCUGUGACAAUUGGUGGCAAAAUUGUUGGGUCAUUGUGUGCUAUUGCCGGAGUGUUGACUAUUGCUCUCCCUGUGCCAGUUAUUGUCUCCAAC
rfam:Salmo salar isolate Sally breed double haploid chromosome ssa12, whole genome shotgun sequence.